rnacentral:lncRNA from 1 species
CCUUCUGUAUUCUUAAAGAUGAUAAAAUUGCUUGUAAAUAAAAGAGACGGGGGAAAUAAUAAAUUACAAAUAGGAAAUACAAAGAUAAAGAUAGAGAGAGAAGAAAAUAAAAGAGGCGGGGGAAAUAAUAAAUUACAAAUAGGAAAUACAAAGAUAGAGAGAGAAGAAACUAAGUGGCGGACCAGAUUAGAGCGAGGGCAUCCCAUUCUUAUUAGCUACUUGUUGGAUUGCUUAGCGAUCGAAAUAAAGUUCAAAUCAAACGUCCUGGGACCGGGAGCCCGCCAUGGUGCUUCCCGCCACCUUUCUUGUGCCCGCCGCCACCUG